rnacentral:rRNA from 1 species
CCUACGGGUGGCAGCAGUAGGGAAUCUUCCACAAUGGGCGCAAGCCUGAUGGAGCAACACCGCGUGAGUGAAGAAGGGUUUCGGCUCGUAAAGCUCUGUUGUUGGAGAAGAACGUGCGUGAGAGUACCUGUUCACGCAGUGACGGUAUCCAACCAGAAAGUCCCGGCUAACUACGUGCCAGCAGCCGCGGUAAUACGUAGGUGGCAAGCGUUAUCCGGAUGUAUUGGGCGUAAAGCGAGCGCAGGCGGUUGCUUAGGUCUGAUGUGAAAGCCUUCGGCUUAACCGAAGAAGUGCAUCGGAAACCGGGGAACUUGAGUGCAGAAGAGGACAGUGGAACUCCAUGUGUAGCGGUGGAAUGCGUAGAUAUAUGGAAGAACACCAGUGGCGAAGGCGGCUGUCUGGGCUGCAACUGACGCUGAGGCUCGAAAGCAUGGGUAGCGAACAGGAUUAGAUACCCCGGUAGUC